rnacentral:rRNA from 1 species
AGGUAACGUCAAGGAGGAUGGGUAUUAUCCACCCCCUUUUCUUCCCAAUUGAAAGUGCUUUACAACCCGCAGGCCUUCUUCACACACGCGGUAUUGCUGGAUCAGGCUUGCGCCCAUUGUCCAAUAUUCCCCA